AUUGAACGCUGGCGGCAGGCCUAACACAUGCAAGUCGAACGAGUGGCGGACGGGUGAGUAAUGUCUGUGAAACUGCCCGAUGGAGGGGGAUAACUACUGGAAACGGUAGCUAAUACCGCAUACCAUCGGAGGUGCCCAGAGGGGCUUAGCUAGUAGGUGGGGUGACGGCUCACCUAGGCGACGAUCCCUAGCUGGUUUGAGAGGAUGACCAGGCACACUGGAACUGUGACACGGUCCAGACUCCCACGGGAGGCCGGAGUGGGGAAGAUUGCACAAUGGGCGCAAGCCCGAUGCAGCCAUGCCGCGUGUAUGAAGAGGGCCUGCGGGUUGUAAAGUACUUUCAGCGAGGAGGGGUUACUCGCAGAAGAAGCACCGGCUAACUCCGUGCCAGCAGCCGCGGUAAUUC
rnacentral:rRNA from 1 species